GGACUACAGGCGCCCGCCAUCACGCCCGGCUGCUUUUUUUGUUUUAGUAGAGAGGAGGUUUCACCGUGUUAGCCAGGAUGGUCUCAAUCUCCUGACCUCGUGAUCCGCCCGCCUCGGCCUCUCAAAGUGCUGGGAUUACACGCGUGAGCCACCGCGCCUGGCCUGAAGAAAGUUAAAAGAAAAGCUUUUUGAAUGAAUCACUUCUCAUCUUCUCCGAAGUUGGAAGCAUCAAGAAUCUAAAUAAGCAUUUAUGAUGGCUGGCAUGAAUAUGUUGCCAGGGCGUCCACUGGUCUAAAUAGCACUCAUCUUCCUACUGCAGGUCUAUAGGUCCACUGAUACGGCUUUGCUACUCUACCCCGACACCCUGAGGACUAAUCUAUUAAUAGUAUGUACUUCUUAUAAUGAUGAGUGAGGCACAAAAGAGGAAGCAGAAACGCGGAAGAUAGAAUGGGAGUCCUAGUUGACCUUCAUAUAAUUUUUAGAAGAUGGAGCACUUCAACUUCUUCCACUCAUGAAAAGAGAGGUGGUGAAGACAGAACAAGAAAACAAACCAAGAAUUUCCCCUCACCAGCCACCAGCUCUGCCAGCAACUUGAUCUUAGACUUCCCAGCCUCCGUAACGUCUUCCUCCUAAAAACCUGUAACCUCAAUCUAAUCAUGAGAAAAGACAUCAGGCAAAUCCCAACUGAGGGAGAUUUUACAUAGUACCUGAGCAGUACUCCUCAAAACUGUCAAGGUCAUCAAAAACAAAGAAGUAUGAAAAACUGUCACAGCCAAGAGGAACUUAAGGAAACAUAAUAAUUAAAGCCUCUGCUUAUAAUCUGUCAUGGAUUGGAAAACUAGAAAAAACAGUUUACAGAGUAUAACAAACUUUGGAGGAGUUAAUCGACUCUAAGUAAAAGAGUAUCUAGCACGGCUGUGGAACAAAGGAGAGACUCACAAACUGUUGAAAGAAUAAAUGAAUGAAUGAAUUCUGUUCAUGAGCUUUAAUAAAACAGCUCUGAGUAGUAACAGUGGAUCAAAUUUAGGCUUCUUGAUGCAGGCAUGGUGUAGAUUACUACUUCUGUAUUGUCCCAGGAGCUCAGCACAUUCCUGCAGAGAUGAUAGGAGCUCAUCUGAUACUUGUCAGCUUUGAAUAAACUCCAGUCCCCAAGAGAGAGAAUGAGAAUCACCGGAAUACGAAACUUCCCUGUUGGACUUCCCAACAUUCUUGAAUGCACCAAGAUAGCCUCUUGCUGUGAGAUUAAUAAAUGAAUAAAUGCCUCCAUAUUUUUCAAA
ensembl:lncRNA novel transcript